rnacentral:tRNA from 1 species
GGCGGGGUGGCCGAGUGGCUCAGGCAGGGGUUUGCAAAACCCCCUACGCGGGUUCGAUUCCCGCCUCCGCCU